GACAACGCUGGCGGCGUGCUCAUACAUGUCAGUCGAACGAGUUUGCUUUUCCUGAAGGCGGUGCUUGCACCAACUGAUUUAAAAAUAAACGAGUGGCGGACGGGUGAGUAACACGUGGGUAACCUACCCUAAAGUGGGGGAUAACAUUUGGAAACAGAUGCUACAUACCGCAUAACAUUAAAAACCACAUGGUUUUUAAUUGAAAGAUGGCGUAAGCUGUCACUUUUGGAUGGACCCGCGGCGUAUUAGCUAGUUGGUGAGGUAAUGGCUCACCAAGGCGAUGAUACGUAGCCGACCUGAGAGGGUGAUCGGCCACAUUGGGACUGAGACACGGCCCAAACUCCUACGGGAGGCAGCAGUAGGGAAUCUUCCACAAUGGACGAAAGUCUGAUGGAGCAACGCCGACGUGGGUGAAGAAGGUUCUUCGGAUCGUAAAACUCUGUUAUUGGAGAAGAACGUAUUUGGUAGUAACUGGACCAGAUAGUGACGGUAUCCAAUCAGAAAGCCACGGAUAACUACGUGCCAGACAGCCGCGGUAAUACGCAGGUGGCAAGGCGUUGUCCGGAAUUUAUUGGGCGUACAAGCGAGAUGCCAGACGGUUCACACUACAAGUUCUGACUGUGAAAGCCUUCGGCAUUAAACCGGAAGAACAUGCAUGGAAACUGGGAAACCUUCGAGUUGCAGAACGAGGAGCACUGGAACU
rnacentral:rRNA from 1 species